AGGCACCUACGGGGGGCAGCAGUGAGGAAUAUUGGUCAAUGGGCUUACGCCUGAACCAGCCAAGUCGCGUGAGGGAAGACUGCCCUAUGGGUUGUAAACCUCUUUUGUCAGGGAGCAACGCCGGCUACGUGUAGCCGGACUGAGAGUACCUGAAGAAAAAGCAUCGGCUAACUCCGUGCCAGCAGCCGCGGUAAUACGUAGGGGGCAAGCGUUAUCCGGAUUUACUGGGUGUAAAGGGAGCGUAGACGGAAAGGCAAGUCAGAAGUGAAAGCCCAAGGCUCAACCAUGGGACUGCUUUUGAAACU
rnacentral:rRNA from 1 species